rnacentral:rRNA from 1 species
GAUGAACGUUGGCGGCGUGCCUAACACAUGCAAGUCGAACGAGAAGCUCACUUCGGUGAGUGGAAAGUGGCGCACGGGUGCGUAACACGUAGCUCACCUGCCCCGAAGAGUGGGACAACCAUUGGAAACGAUGGCUAAUACCACAUAAGCUCACGAUCUGUAGAGGAUUGUGAGAAAAGCUGAGGCGCUUUGGGAUGGGGCUGCGGCCCAUCAGGUAGAUGGUGAGGUAAAAGCUCACCAUGCCGACGACGGGUAGGGGACCUGAGAGGGUGGCCCCCCACACUGGGACUGAGACACGGCCCAGACUCCUACGGGAGGCAGCAGUGAGGAAUCUUGCACAAUGGGCGAAAGCCUGAUGCAGCGACGCCGCGUGAGCGAAGAAGGGUUUCGGCUCGUAAAGCUCUUUUCUGUGUGACGAGAAAGGACGGUAGCACAGGAAUAAGUCUCGGCUAACUACG